UGGGGAAUAUUGGACAAUGGGGGCGAACCCUGAUCCAGCAAUGCCGCGUGUGUGAAGAAGGCCUGCGGGUUGUAAAGCACUUUCAGUAGAGAAGAAAAAGCCUAAGGUUAAUAACCUUGAGUCUUGACGUAACCUACAGAAGAAGCACCGGCUAACUCCGUGCCAGCAGCCGCGGUAAUACGGAGGGUGCAAGCGUUAAUCGGAAUUACUGGGCGUAAAGCGCACGUAGGUGGUUUUGUAAGUCGGAUGUGAAAGCCCUGGGCUCAACCUGGGAAUUGCAUUCGAUACUGCUUAACUAGAGUAUGGUAGAGGGAAGUGGAAUUUCCGGUGUAGCGGUGAAAUGCGUAGAUAUCGGAAGGAACACCAGUGGCGAAGGCGACUUCCUGGGCCAAUACUGACACUGAGGUGCGAAAGCGUGGGUAGCAAACAGGAUUAGAUACCCCCGUAGUCCCUGAGCGGGCUGGCAAGGCGCAU
rnacentral:rRNA from 1 species